GACGAACGCUGGCGGCGUGCUUAACACAUGCAAGUCGAACGGAAAGGCCCUGCUUUUGUGGGGUGCUCGAGUGGCGAACGGGUGAGUAACACGUGAGUAACCUGCCCUUGACUUUGGGAUAACUUCAGGAAACUGGGGCUAAUACCGGAUAGGAGCUCCUGCUGCAUGUUGGGGGUUGGAAAGUUUCGGCGGUUGGGGAUGGACUCGCGGCUUAUCAGCUUGUUGGUGGGGUAGUGGCUUACCAAGGCUUUGACGGGUAGCCGGCCUGAGAGGGUGACCGGCCACAUUGGGACUGCGAUACGGCCCAGACUCGUACGGGAGGCAGCAGUGGGGAAUAUUGCACAAUGGGCGGAAGCCUGAUGCAGCAACGCCGCGUGCGGGAUGACGGCCUUCGGGUUGUAAACCGCUUUCGCCUGUGACGAAGCGUGAGUGACGGUAAUGGGUAAAGAAGCACCGGCUAACUACGUG
rnacentral:rRNA from 1 species